rnacentral:lncRNA from 1 species
GAAUAUGAGCAGGCAUACAUGGAGGCAGAACGCAGGCACGCCACGGGCCUGAAGCAGGGCUGCCACACGCCACCAUUCGACAACUCAAGGGCACCAUUCAUUCAUGCAGGCUGUCCUGACAAAAUGCCAAGUUAGCAAAAUAAGAUCACACAGUCACUCUUCAUCACAGCUGGAGAAUCUGAAUUUACGAGUAUCUUGCAUCAAAACGCUGCCUCAGAGAGAACAGAAAGUGAAAAUACAGAUUCCUGAAAUCAUACAAUAAGAGGUGAAUAUUAUCUUCCUUCAUGAUCUUCAUUAUGAUUAAAGAUUAACUUUGUGAAAUAAUUCAUAAACCCAAUUAUCAAGAUAUUAUCAUUUAUAACAAAAUUAUAUCCUCCAAAGUGACUGAAAGACAUACAAUAUUUACUAUUUAUAUACCACAAUACUUUAGUCAUAUACUUGCACAGUCACAAAUUACUUAUUAAAAACUUGCAUCAGAUAAAUUGUGUUAUAUAUAUUUUACUACACAUACACACAAAGGCCCAUCAGUUUUCAAACCCCUUUUUUGCAACUAUUAAAGUUAGUCUAAAGAGUGCCACCCCAGCAAGCUACAAGGACAGUGAAUGGAAACAAAAUGCAAAAAAAUGCAACCACAGGAAUGCAGAACGGAGAGUGCAAGCAGAUAUAGGCAAGAUGAAGGUUAAAAACUUCUCUCAGCCUUGGGGCAAAAAUAUAGUAGACAUUCUCUGCCCCCCUGCCCCCUCCAGCCUCUUUAGACGAUGAAGCCACAGGACUAUGAGCUCCUGGUUUAAAAGGUCGGGAAGUCUUUGUUUUCCUGGGGUCCUUAGGUUUCUGUGUCUUUCUGAAGUGUUUAAGGUAAAGGUUUUCCACAAAGGUGGCAUCGCUAUCUAGAAGAUGUUUUCUAAAUUUGUGGGGGCAAUUUUGAUUGUCACGGUAAUUCAGAGGACACCCUUCCUUGGCUUUUGUCAGGCAAACUCCACAACAAUCCUGCACAACAAAGAACUGUCCUGCAACCUUCAACUUUUGUCCUGCAUAACUUUUAAAACAUCCCACUGGGCAUUCACAUUGGCAAAAAAAAGUCCAUUUAUAACCAUCUGGGCCUAAAUCCUAAUACAGCUCUUUAUAUACACUUGAUUCAUUUAUGCAGUUUUAAUAUACAUCAAAUUUUCUACAACACAAUGACAACAUCAAAUUUGGGUUUUGUUUCUUGCUUUGUUUGGAAUUUUACUAAUAGAUGUUCAUCAUUUCAGAAAACCAUGCGACUACUACAAUGCUCCUUAUGGUAUUUGGAUUCCUAGUACAAUGCUUUUUGAUCAGACUCCGUUUGCAGCUUUUAUAUUCAUAGAGCCUCCACAUCUAGGUGGGACAAUCUAACUACACUGUCUUCUUGAGUACAUGCUGAAACACAUACCUACUGAAAUACAUUUUACUUGCUAUAAAUUAUUUUAAUUUAUUUCUCCUUGAUAUUUUUGCUAGACAUUCUAUCAAUUUCUAAAUCGUGAGUAGACAGGUUGUAAGUCUAUGAUUUUCAUUUUCUGACAGUAAAUGGGGCAUAGGAUUGGACAGUUAAGAAGAUGGGUGCACCAAGCAAGUGGUAUGCAGUAAUUAAGCAAAGAAGCACAGAGAUCAGGUGUCCAACCCACUCAGACACGUGGAUUACGGCUGGAGGUGGGGCAGAGUAAGACGAAAUAUCGAUGCUCCUUCUGCUUUUACAAAGUGCCAACUUCAAAGACUUUCUUUAUAUUUACUAACCGAAUUCCUCAAAAUAUAACUGACACUUUAGAACAUGAAAGUAAUAGAAUGAUUAAAUUAGAAAAAAACAUAUUUUUGCUUGUGAAUGAACAUGAGUCUCCAGUUCUUAAUUCAUGAGGAUUUUACCAACAAUGCCCUCUUAGAAAAAGAGAGAAAAAUACAGUUUCAGCUAGAAAAAUCCUAAAAUGACUAAGUUUUUAUAAAACUACACAGAGAUUUGAGGCAGUAACAAUGUCAAGAAAAACGUUCCCAAAUACUUUCAGGAUUUUAAAUGUGGGCUCAGAGUUAAGUAGAAAGGAGUGGGAAACGCCACUGUCAAGACGAUAUAAAUUCACUUUCUGCUUCUCCAUACACAAAACUGUCUCUUUUAAGUCUGUACGGUCAGAUUCAUGCAAAGAGCAGAUUUAUGGAGACCAAUGUUCUGCUUGUAAGAGUAAACAAUCCAAACUAGGCUAAGAACACCGGAAAAGCUGGAAGCUGCAAAGAGUUCAAAUUGCUACAUGUCUAUAAAGUCACAACAAAACAGCUCCAGAGAAGGGUAAUUUGGGAGAAACAAAUGGGAAAAGGCAGGAGGGAGACUUUGAAAUGAAGAGCAACUGAGAGAAUAAUCAGGGAUGUGAUUAAGGUUGGCCUACUAAUAAGAGUACGGUUAUAGAAAAUACCCAUAUUCAAAGCCUUCCUCAUACAACUCCCAGAAUGAAGAUAUUCCUGCCAUUCCAGUCUCAGCUCAAAUAACCCCCUCUCAGGAAGCUUUUCCCUGAACACCCAGUUUAAAGUUGCCCCUCUUGUUCCUUUCCAUGGUAUCAUCCCGUUUCCUUUUCUCCAGAGCUGGCAAAAGAGACCUGUUUUAUGUUUAUUGUCUGUCUCCUCCUUCGCUACAUUAUAAGCUCCAUGAGGGCAGGGUCUUUCCUUGUCUGUCUGCUUCAUUACUGUAUCCCCAAGGCUUAGAACACUGCUGGCUACAAUAUAUAUUAGGUUCAAAAAUGCUGAAGCAAUAGUGCUAAUGAAAAAUAAUAUAAUAGGGGUGGCACCUAAAGAUCAUUUGGCCAGGCAUGGAGGCUCAUGCCUG